UGCAGUAGAACGCUGAAGACUUUAGCUUGCUAAAGUUGGAAGAGUUGCGAACGGGUGAGUAACGCGUAGGUAACCUGCCUACUAGCGGGGGAUAACUAUUGGAAACGAUAGCUAAUACCGCAUAACAGCAUUUAACCCAUGUUAGAUGCUUGAAAGGAGCAAUUGCUUCACUAGUAGAUGGACCUGCGUUGUAUUAGCUAGUUGGUGAGGUAACGGCUCACCAAGGCGACGAUACAUAGCCGACCUGAGAGGGUGAUCGGCCACACUGGGACUGAGACACGGCCCAGACUCCUACGGGAGGCAGCAGUAGGGAAUCUUCGGCAAUGGGGGCAACCCUGACCGAGCAACGCCGCGUGAGUGAAGAAGGUUUUCGGAUCGUAAAGCUCUGUUGUAAGAGAAGAACGUGUGUGAGAGUGG
rnacentral:rRNA from 1 species